rnacentral:lncRNA from 1 species
AUUGUCAGAGACAAAAUUGGUUUCAGGGCCUUUACUCUUUAGAGAUGCUUGAUAAAGCUCAACCAAAUGUCUUGGUACACGGCAAAUUCUUGACAAGUGCCCUUUUCCACCGCAACGAUGACAUAUAGUUUCUGAACUAUUUGCUUUUGGAUCCUCAUAAUUACGUUUCUGCUUUUGGUGGUUAUAUCUCUUUGGGGAGUGACUGACACCAGGAAAAUUUCUUCCUUGUCCACGUCCACGGCCAUAACCCCGAUUACGACCACGGCCAUGAUUAAAGCCAUAG